rnacentral:rRNA from 1 species
AGCCGGCCUGAGAGGGCACNCGGCCACACUGGCANUGAAACACGGNCCAGACUCCUACGGGAGGCAGCAGUGGGGAAUCUUGCACAAUGGGGGAAACCNUGAUGCAGCGACGCCGCGUGAGCGAUGAAGCCCUUCGGGGUGUNAANNUNNUUCGGCAGGGAAGAUGAUGACGGUACCUGCAGAAGCAGCUGCGGCUAACUACGUGCCAGCAGCCGCGGUAAUACGUAGGCAGCAAGCGUUGUUCGGAGUUNCUGGGCGUAAAGGGUGUGUAGGCGGUUCUUUAAGUUUGGUGUGAAAUCUCCCGGCUCAACCGGGAGGGUGCGCCGAAAACUGAAGAGCUAGAGUGCGGGAGAGGAGAGUGGAAUUCCUGGUGUAGCGGUGAAAUGCGUAGAUAUCAGGAGGAACACCGGUGGUGUAAACGGCUCUCUGGACCGUAACUGACGCUGAGACACGAAAGCGUGGGUAGCAAACAGGAUUAGAUACCCUGGUAGUCCACGCCCUAAACGAUGCAUAUUUGGUGUGGGUCAUUCAGUUGAUCCGUGCCGGAGCUAACGCGUUAAAUAUGCCGCCUGGGGAGUACAGUCGCAAGNNNGNNACUCAAAGGAAAU